rnacentral:rRNA from 1 species
GUAGGGGGCAAGCGUUGUCCGGAUUUAUUGGGCGUAAAGCGCGUGUAGGCGGCCAGGUAGGUCGGCUGUGAAAACUCGAGGCUCAACCUCGAGAUGUCGGCCGAAACCAUCUGGCUAGAGUCCGGAAGAGGAGAAUGGAAUUCCCGGUGUAGCGGUGAAAUGCGCAGAUAUCGGGAAGAACACCCGUGGCGAAGGCGGUUCUCUGGGACGGUACUGACGCUGAGACGCGAAAGCGUGGGGAGCGAACAGGAUUAGAUACCCUGGUAGUCCACGCCGUAAACGAUGGGAACUAGGUGUGGGCGGUGUCGACUCCGUCCGUGCCGAAGCUAACGCAUUAAGUUCCCCGCCUGGGGAGUACGGCCGCAAGGCUAAA